ensembl:snoRNA U8 U8 small nucleolar RNA
UCAUCAGGUGGGAUAAUCCUUACCUGUUCCUCGUUUUGGAGGGCAGAUAGAACACGAUAAUUGGAGUUUGCAUGAUCCAUGAUUAAUGUCUCUGUGUAAUCAGGACUUGCAAACUCUGAUUGUUCGUAUCUGAU